CAGCCGCCGCGGGAAUACGAGGGGGGCAAGCGUUGUUCGGAAUUAUUGGGCGUAAAGGGCGCGUAGGCGGUCUGACAAGUCUUAUGUGAAAUCUCUGGGGUCAACCCAGAGUCUGCAUGGGAAACUACCAAGCUGGAGUAAGGUAGGGGCAGAGGGAAUUUCUGGUGGAGCGGUGGAAUGCGUUGAGAUCAUAAAGAACAACAAUGGCGAAAGCACUCUGCUGGGCCGACAUUGACACUGAGAGAUGAAGGCAAGGGGAGAAAAUUGGAUUAGAUACCCGUGUAGUCCCUGUCUCUUAUAC
rnacentral:rRNA from 1 species